rnacentral:rRNA from 1 species
CCUACGGGAGGCAGCAGUGAGGAAUAUUGGUCAAUGGACGAGAGUCUGAACCAGCCAAGUAGCGUGAAGGAUGACUGCCCUAUGGGUUGUAAACUUCUUUUAUAUGGGAAUAAAACAGGGUAUGCAUACCCUCUUGUAUGUACCAUAUGAAUAAGGAUCGGCUAACUCCGUGCCAGCAGCCGCGGUAAUACGGAGGGUCCGAGCGUUAUCCGGAUUUAUUGGGUUUAAAGGGAGCGUAGGUGGAUUGUUAAGUCAGUUGUGAAAGUUUGCGGCUCAACCGUAAAAUUGCAGUUGAAACUGGCAGGCUUGAGUGCAGUAGAGGUGGGCGGAAUUCGUGGUGUAGCGGUGAAAUGCUUAGAUAUCACGAAGAACUCCGAUUGCGAAGGCAGCUCACUGGACUGCAACUGACACUGAUGCUCGAAAGUGUGGGUAUCAAACAGGAUUAGAUACCCCAGUAGUC